UAGCUCAGUUGGCUAGAGCGUCUCCUUGCCAAGGAGAAGGUCGCGGGUUCGAAUCCCGU
rnacentral:tRNA from 1 species